CAUACUUGUGCCCCUUCUGCCUCAGCCUCCUGAACAGUUGGGAUUACAGUUGUUCCUCUGUCUGAAAGGGUCAUUUUUUAGAUGAACAAGUUAAUAUCUUGCUUCGGAGGCUGCUUUAAAACCUGUGAUACAGAGCUGGAGGUUCAAGUUCCAUCACCUAACUGCAAGGACAUUUAGUUGUUUCUUUCUGUCCAGAGCUGGCCAGGCAGCCUCUCUGCUUUUGUGGACCGAGGGGGCUGGCAGCACCAACUCACCUGUUUCUUAUCUGCCACUCGCACUUGCCUCUCUCUUCUGCUUAGUUGCUCUCUCUUGACGGUUGUGAGGUCCUCAUCACUUAGGUCAUAUCCCUUUCCCCAGGUGUUAUGACCUCCAGGCUGGACUGGCAGAGUUGUUCCCAGCACAGAUGAACUACAAGAGCCCCAGGAAUAUCCCACCACUCCCAGAGGCAUCUCUUAUCAUGUACAGUUUAGGAUUACCAAGCACACCUGGGCAGUCAUUCACCUUGGAGCCAGUUUCAUCCCAUGGGAAUCCCUCCAGGGAGCUACCAUCUCUCCUGAGCUCUACAUUUCAUGAUGGAGCAAGUAAGGAAGAAAACAAUGGGGGUAUCAAUAGCUUUGUGAAGGCAUGAUUUGUAAUUAUUAAUUACAAGACAAUGGUAUUUCAGUGAUUUUUUAAAAAUUAUUAUUUUUUAACAUCCUGUGAGGAAAACAGUAGAGACCUUGCAGUCAGGAGGGUUUGUAGGUUUACCCUGCAGAAACCUACACAGGCACAGUGAUCAAUUCGACUUCUCACUGGCUAUACAUCCUUAGAUCACAUAGAUAGUCUUCCCAUUACUGUUUAGGGAUGGGCUGAGGGUGAUCUCUUGCACUUAAUAUGUGAUCAUUUCAAAAGUACAACAUUUCAUUAUUUGUGUAUAAGGGCAGCAAGAUAAGAAAACCUCAGAACAACCACAGUAAAAUGUCCCCAUGGAAACGCCCCACACCCUCCUCAGGCUAAAAUCUCAGUUGACAGUCUCUGUCCUCUCUCCCUGGUCCACAGGGUGACUCUCCAGGCAGACUAAGCCUGUCAACACUCAGCUGCUCUUUAGAAAAAUAGCCCAGGACAUUCUAAAAUAAUUGAAACCUCAGGAAGAGCUGGACAACAUCACAGUGACCCUCACCUCUGACCUCCACACACUUUCUAGAAGGUUUUUUUUUUUGUCAUGUUAUCAUUCUCUUGUUUUUAAAAAUCUCUUUCCAUCCUAUGAGAUCUUAUAAUGGAGAACUAUUAGAGGUGUUUUUGCACAGGCCCACAUCUCUAUGUUGGAUCCUCAAACAUAGAGAAACACUAGGUAGGCCCCACGACCAGGGAUUGCUUGUGCUGUAAAAUGCAAAUGACCUUCUCCUUUCAUACCUGUAUACAUGUUCUAUCUCCUCCGAGACCUUUGUCCACACGAGAAGUGUGGGAUUAGAAUAUUCUGGUCUCAAGUGAACCUAUUCUUCAGCUCAGUGAUCCUGGGGAGGAUCCUUCUGCUCUGGCCAAACCACAGCCGGCCAUGAGCAUACCUGGCCCUGGAGUUGGGGGUUCCUCCUCACUCUCUGGGUCCCAAGAUCCUAGAAUGGUGUAUCUCAUGCACUAGUUAUUGGUUCAGUGAACAAAGUUCUUUUAUCCCAAAUCACAGCACAUGUGUUUCACUAGUUCCAAUCAAGGCCAUUCAGUGAGAACUUGGGGCCACGUUCCAGCCAAGAGAGCUAUCACUUAGAUUAAUUAAUAAGAAUCAGAGCCUGUGCUCACCCCAGGUCUGGCUUCUUGUCCUGGGAAUCAUGCUAUGAGACCAGGAAUCUGCAAUGGUGGGUCGGAAGCACCCAGGGUGUUUAUUUUUGACGAGGACAACAGAAUUUGUAGUGUUCCCUAGAAAACUUGUAUCCUUAAACUAAUCAAUCUGAACAUCAGAAUCCCUUGUGAGCCCUAAUUGUUGAGCUCCUCCCAGGGUAGGUCUGAAGCAGCCCCAGGACUUGCAUUUCUAAGACAUUCCCAGAUGAUGCUGAUACACCUGUAAUGGGCACCACACUUUGAAGGCAGCUGAAGUAAACCCACACCCAGCACUUGGAUGUUUCAAAGCCUCGGCAUCCCUUCCCCACAAUACCAAAGAACUUUUGAGAGUGGAGUCAGCUCCUUAGAGUAGAUCAGAAAUGAACAAUCCAUACAUCAUGGAUUGAAAUAAUAUAAAAUUAUAUAUCAUAGCAUAGCAGCAAAUCAUACUUUUAGAAUAUUGCAUGACUGAAGGCACAAGUCCCCUCCCCUUGAGGAACAGACCAACGAGAAAGUAAACAAAAGGUGGAAUUGCUCUUUAAUGCAAAGAUUUGGGUUUCAAGAAGUAUCUGGCCAAAUAACCACUUUUACAACCAGCAUGAAAUAUAAGGAGACCAUUUGACCUAUCUCAGUUAUCACAGACACCAAGCCAAGCCACAGUAAAAUGAAUCUGAGUUUUCCAAUCUUGGAAACAGCCAGAAAUGCUAUUUAGAUUAAUUUUAUUUGAGAGUUGGCUAAAAUUGUUCACAUUCUCAAAUACCUCAGGAUAAACAUCCUAGCAUUGCCAUACAAAUCUGUAUUCUCUAUAUUAGAUUCAAAUAGGCCAUUUGGGGGAGAUGAAAAUUUAUUGAUUGAUUUUUGCAAAUUACUUACUAAAUAUGUUUACACACAAACAAUUAGGCUUCUCUUUCUCAAUCAAACUAGAUUUGAUCUCAAUCAAACUAAAUUUUAGCAAUUUUUGGAAUUGCAUUCCAUUGUAUUGCCGUCUUUAGCUACAUACAAGAUUCAAUUAGUAUUUUAUUGUGGAAAUCCUAACAUCCCUUAUAGAAUAAAGAACAAUAUUUAAAAUGAUAUUUUACCUCUUUUGUAAGAAGCAACAGGAAUCAACAUUUCAAAGCACAGUCCAGUACUAGCAUUGGAGUACAUAUGCAAUAUUUUCCCUAAACAGAAUAUAUUCUAGUGCAAACAAAUAAACCUUAUUGUCUACCAUAGUGUGACCUUCAAAAGUUGGAUACACAGAAUGCCUGUAGAAUAAAUUAUCAUAUAUUUAAGAUAUAAGAUUAGAACUGAUAGAAAUUCUGAGGAAAAUUGCCCUAGCUGAAAGCUUAUGAAUUCAUCUGAUCCUCAUACUAGUAGCUGAACAAUGAAGUUUUAAAUUCUUGAUGAUCAGUUCAAGACAAUUGAAUUCAUGCUUUCAGAAACUGCUAACCUAGAACAAUACCUAGAAUAACUCCCUGACCAAAGUUAGAUUUUGUUCAGAUAUCUACUACUUCCUUAGGGGACCCAGAGGUGUGGUCUCCACCCAGUGGGCCGGGAGAGGGAAAUGUGCUUCAUCCAGGAUGUUGAUGGAACGCUCAGUAGUGAAGGCAAUGGGUUGGGGUGGGUCCUGAUCCAGUUCUGAUCAACAUGUCACAAAGAGAUGGCUGCUGAGGCUUCUAGAAAAGCUCUUCUCACUCUUCAGGAGCCAUGUGAAGGGAGAGUCUGUAUUUGUUCCUGGACAUUGGAUGUUAAAUGUCCGGAUUUGACUCCCAGAACUACUAGAGCUCUCUUGCAGCUAUGCAGGAGGCCAGUCUGGGGCACACUCAGCUCUUACAGG
rnacentral:lncRNA from 1 species